UACGUAGGUGGCGAGCGUUGUCCGGAAUUACUGGGUGUAAAGGGCGUGUAGGCGGGUUUGAAAGUCAGAUGUGAAAGCCCAUGGCUUAACCAUGGAACUGCAUCUGAAACUUCAGAUCUUGAGUACUGGAGAGGAAAGCGGAAUUCCUAGUGUAGCGGUGAAAUGCGUAGAUAUUAGGAGGAACACCAGUGGCGAAGGCGGCUUUCUGGACAGAAACUGACGCUGAGGCGCGAAAGCGUGGGGAGCAAACAGG
rnacentral:rRNA from 1 species